CCUACGGGUGGCUGCAGUGGGGAAUAUUGCACAAUGGGCGCAAGCCUGAUGCAGCCAUGCCGCGUGUGUGAAGAAGGCCUUCGGGUUGUAAAGCACUUUCAUCGGGGAGGAAGGCGUUAAGGUUAAUAACCUUGGCGAUUGACGUUACCCGCAGAAGAAGCACCGGCUAACUCCGUGCCAGCAGCCGCGGUAAUACGGAGGGUGCAAGCGUUAAUCGGAAUUACUGGGCGUAAAGCGCACGCAGGCGGUCUGUCAAGUCGGAUGUGAAAUCCCCGGGCUCAACCUGGGAACUGCAUUCGAAACUGGCAGGCUAGAGUCUUGUAGAGGGGGGUAGAAUUCCAGGUGUAGCGGUGAAAUGCGUAGAGAUCUGGAGGAAUACCGGUGGCGAAGGCGGCCCCCUGGACAAAGACUGACGCUCAGGUGCGAAAGCGUGGGGAGCAAACAGGAUUAGAUACCCGAGUAGUC
rnacentral:rRNA from 1 species